rnacentral:rRNA from 1 species
CCUACGGGUGGCAGCAGUGAGGAAUAUUGGUCAAUGGACGCAAGUCUGAACCCGCCAUUCCGCGUGCAGGAAGACGGCUCUAUGAGUUGUAAACUGCUUUUGUACGAGGGUAAACGCAGAUACGUGUAUCUGUCUGAAAGUAUCGUACGAAUACGGAUCGGCUACCUCCGUGCCAGCAGCCGCGGUAAUACGGAGGAUUCAAGCGUUAUCCGGAUUUAUUGGGUUUAACGGGUGCGUAGGCGGUCGGAUAAGUUAGAGGUGAAAGCCCGAGGCUCAACUUCGGAAUUGCCUCUGAUACUGUUCGGCUAGAGAGUAGUUGCGGUAGGCGGAAUGUAUGGUGUAGCGGUGAAAUGCUUAGAGAUCAUACAGAACACUGAUUGCGAAGGCAGCUUACCAAGCUACUUCUGACGUUGAGGCACGAAAGCGUGGGGAGCAAACAGGAUUAGAUACCCCUGUAGUC